rnacentral:rRNA from 1 species
UAGGGAAUCUUCCGCAAUGGGCGAAAGCCUUACGGAGCAACGCCGCGUGAGUGAUGAAGGUCUUCGGAUCGUAAAACUCUGUUAUUAGGGAAGAACAAAUGUGUAAGUAACUAUGCACGUCUUGACGGUACCUAAUCAGAAAGCCACGGCUAACUACGUUCCAGCAGCCGCGGUAAUACGUAGGUGGCAAGCGUUAUCCGGAAUUAUUGGGCGUAAAGCGCGCGUAGGCGGUUUUUUACGUUGGAUGUGAAAGCCCACGGCUCAACCGUGGAGAGUCAUUGGAAACUGGAAAACUUGAGUGCAGAAGGGGAAAGUUGAAUUCCAAGUGUAACGGUGAAAUGCGCAGAUAUAUGGAAGAACCCCAGUGGAGAAAGCGACUUUCUGGUCUGUAACUGACGCUGAUGUGCAAAAGCGAGGGGAUCAAACAGG